AUUGAACGCUGGCGGCAGGCUUAACACAUGCAAGUCGAACGAGUGGCGGACGGGUGAGUAAUGCUUGGGAAUCUAGCUUAUGGAGGGGGAUAACUACGGGAAACUGUAGCUAAUACCGCGUACCAUAGGAUGAGCCCAAGUGGGAUGAGGUAGUUGGUGAGGUAAAGGCUCCCCAAGCCGACGCUCUCUACCUGGUCUGAGAGGAUGACCAGCCACACGGGGACGUAGACACGGCCCAGACUCCUACGGGAGGCAGCAGUGGGGAAGAUUGCGCAAUGGGGGCAACCUGACGCAGCCAGGCCGCGUGAAUGAAGAAGGCCUGCGGGUUGUAAAGUUCUUUCGGUAGCGAGGCGUUAACUACAGAAGAAGCACCGGCUAACUCCGUGCCAGCAGCCGCGGUAAUUC
rnacentral:rRNA from 1 species